UACGGGGGGGGCAAGCGUUGUUCGGAAUUACUGGGCGUAAAGGGCUCGUAGGCGGCCAACUAAGUCAGACGUGAAAUCCCUCGGCUUAACCGGGGAACUGCAUCUGAUACUGGAUGGCUUGAGAUUGGGAGAGGGAUGCGGAAUUCCAGGUGUAGCGGUGAAAUGCGUAGAUAUCUGGAGGAACACCGGUGGCGAAGGCGGCAUCCUGGACCAACACUGACGCUGAGGAGCGAAAGCAUGGGGAGCGAACGGG
rnacentral:rRNA from 1 species